rnacentral:rRNA from 1 species
UGAACUGCGAAUGGCUCAUUAAAACAGUUAUAGUUUAUUUGAUAAUUUGAAAUGGAUAACUUUAGGAAACCUAGAGCUAAUACAUGCAUUAGGACUGGCCCACUUCGGUGGAAAGGUUGUAUUUAUUAGAUAUAAACUCUUCGUCACCCAGUGACGUCUAGAUGAUUCAUAAUAACUUCUCUGACCGCUGUUUACAGCGAUAGGUCAUUCAAGUUCCUGCCCUAUCAGCUUUAGAUGGUAGUGUAUUGGACUACCAUGGCGGUAACGGGUAACGGAGAAUUAGGGUUCGAUUCCGGAGAGGGAGCCUGAGAAACGGCUACCACUUCUACGGAAGGCAGCAGGCGCGUAAAUUACCCAAUCCUGACUCAGGGAGGUAGUGACAAGAAAUAGUGACUUGUGUCCUACAAGGAUUACAAGAUUGCAAUGAGGUCCAAUUUAAAGCACUUAGUGAGGAACAAUUGGAGGGCAAGUCUGGUGCCAGCAGCCGCGGUAAAUUCCAGCUCCAAUAGCGUAUAUUAAAGUUGUUGCAGUUAAAAAGCUCGUAGUUGGACUUGCACUCCUUUUGGAGCAGCCUAGCAACUCCGCAUGUCCUUAACUGGAUGGCGGAGACCUGCGGGCCCUUUACCUUGAGAAAACUAGAGUGUUUAAGGCAGGCUACGCCUGAAUACUGCAGCUGGGAAUAAUGCAUCACGACUGUCUUGGCGAGGCAGCUCUACACUUUUAAUAGGAACGGUUGGGGGCAUUCGUACUCAGCAGUCAGAGGUGAAAUUCUUGGAUUUGCUGAAGACGGACUAGUGCGAAAGCAUUUGCCAAGGAUGUUUUCAUUAAUCAAGAACGAAAGUUAAGGGAUCAAAGACGAUCAGAUACCGUCCUAGUCUUAACCAUAAACGAUGCCGACUAGGGAUUGGCCAGAACGUACAAAUCUGGUCAGCACCUUACGAGAAAUCAAAGUCUUUGGGUUCUGGGGGGAGUAUGGUCGCAAGACUGAAACUUAAAGGAAUUGACGGAAGGGCACCACAAGGAGUGGAGCCUGCGGCUUAAUUUGACUCAACACGGGGAAACUUACCAGGUCCAGACAUAGUCAGGAUUGACAGAUUGAAAGCUCUUUCUUGAUCCUAUGGGUGGUGGUGCAUGGCCGUUCUUAGUUGGUGGAGUGAUCUGUCUGGUUAAUUCCGAUAACGAACGAGACCUCAACCUGCUAAAUAGUCGUCCUCUAUAUGUAGGGGUAUAGACUUCUUAGAGGGACUUUGCGUUCUAAGCGUAAGGAAGUUUGAGGCAAUAACAGGUCUGUGAUGCCCUUAGACGUUCUGGGCCGCACGCGUGCUACACUGACACAUUCAACAAGUUCUCCAGGUUCGGAAGAAUCCAGGUAAUCUUUUUAAUAUGUGUCGUGCUAGGGAUUGAUCUUUGUAAUUUUGGAUCAUGAACGAGGAAUUCCUUGUAAGCAUAUGUCAUCAGCGUGUGCUGAAUACGUCCCUGCCCUUUGUACACACCGCCCGUCGCUUCUACCGAUCAAGUGGUCCGGUGAACCUUUUGGACAGCGUAGUCCCGUUGGACUAUUGUUGAAAUUUAAGUAAAUCUUUCACUUAGAGGAAGAAGAAGUCGUAACAAGGGAAUCAUUG